rnacentral:Y_RNA from 1 species
GGCUGGUCUGAUGGUAGUGGGUUAUUAGAAUUUAAUAACAUUAGUGUCACUAAAGUUGGUAUACAAUCCCCCACUGCUAAAUUUGACUGGUUUAAA